rnacentral:rRNA from 1 species
GGUUGAUCCUGCCAGUAGUCAUAUGCUUGUCUCAAAGAUUAAGCCAUGCAUGUCUAAGUAUAAACAUCUUUAUACAGUGAAACUGCGUACAGCUCAUUAUAUCAGUUAUUAUUUCUUUGAUGGUGCCUUACUACAUGGAUACCCGUAGUAAUUCUAGAGCUAAUACAUGCGUCAAGUCCCGACUUUUUGGAAGGGAUGUAUUUAUUAGAUAAAAAACCAAUGCAGGCAACUGCUCCCUUGGUGACUCAUAGUAACUUUUACGGAUCGCACGGCUUCACGUCGGCG